rnacentral:precursor_RNA from 12 species
AAAUCUGAAUGUUGACUGUGUAGUGAGGUGUGGUAACUCCACCACCGUUGGCUGAUUGAAUGAAGUUGUCAACGGUAGAGGAGUUCCUUAUCCUCACUGCAUGAAUCAUCAAAAUGAAGAG